rnacentral:rRNA from 1 species
AAUGAACGCUGGCGGCGUGCCUAAUACAUGCAAGUCGCACGGAGUGUCGCACGGGUGAGUAAUGUAUCGCUAAUCUGCCCUACACUAGAGGACAACAGUUUGCAACGGCUGCUAAUACUCUCUAGUUUAGGAUGAGGCUAUAGUGUCUCCGGUAGUUGGUGAGGUAAUGGCUAACCAAGGCUAUGACGCAUAACUGGUCUGAGAGGAUGAUCAGUCACACUGGAACUGAGACACGGUGCAGACUCCUACGGGAGGCAGCAGUAGGGAAUAUUGCUCAAUGGGGGAAACCCUGAAGCAGCAACGCCGCGUGGAGGAUGACACUUUGCGGAGCGUAAACUCAUUUUGUUAGGGAAGCGGUACCUAACGAAUAAGCACCGGCUAACUCCGUGCCAGCAGCCGCGGUAAUUC